rnacentral:lncRNA from 1 species
CGAACGGGAGGGCCAACAAGAAUCAAGCAUUCAUACAGCUGAGAGGGAAGGAUUUAAAGUGUACUUUGCAACAAAUCAAACGGCACAUGAUUCGGAGCUUGCUAGAGAAAGAUAUCACGAAUUAAAGUUGAAUCCGAUUCGGGUCCGAGCUGUCAGGAGACCCGAAUUUGUUUUAAUCACCCAGGCCGCAUCCGGAGUCCAAAUCAAGCAAACAAGUACUUGUUGGAAAGGUAAUUACAAGAGCUUUCCAACGGAUCUGGCCCCAUCAAGAGAUUCGACUCGUGCUGACCGUGGCGGACAAAACAAGCUGACGGAUCUGUUUUUCUGUUUUCUAAAGAGUUGUAGUUUGUUAGGAAAGUUAGAGAUAGAGUUGGAUUUCGGACUCCUUAUUCAAGGUGGACGAAAAUAUCUCUCCCUCCUCCUUUAUAUACCCCAUGAGCCCCCCUAAGGAGCCUUGGGUUUUGUUUAGUUAAAAGUUAGCCAUCGCUACUACUUCGUGUAAUCGCGUGUGUCGGUUAGACCACCUGUUUUACCGCUUUCGGAACCC